ACUUUUAGCGUGAUUGGUCAAAGGUAGCGAGAUAAUUUGUUUUUUUAUUGGAUUCUAGUAUGAAUGGAUUUUUUGUUAUUAAAUAUAUUGAUUUUAAAAAGAAUUUUAAAUUUAUUUAAAAAAUAAUAAAUAAAAUAAAACUAAGAAAAGUCUUUAGAAAUUUAUUAUUUAAUUUAAUUAGGGAAAUAAAAUAAUUAAUAUUUUUUUCUUAAUCAAAAAAAAAAAUUUCUCUAGAGUUAACAGGAAUAAAUAUUGAUUUAUUAUUUUUACAUCGAUGUUGUUUUAUUUAAUAUUAAAAAUGAGAAACUUUUGAGUGAGAGACUGUUCUUCUUUUUUUAAUACGUGAAAUUAGUUUAAUU
rnacentral:rRNA from 1 species